rnacentral:rRNA from 1 species
UUUUAAACUAGGAUUAGAUACCCUAUUAUUUUUAUUAAAUUUAUAUUUAAUUUAAAUAUUAAAUGUUAAGCAUUAAAAAUAAAAAAUUUGGCGGUAUUUAAUAUUUAGAGGAACUUGUUUAUUAAAUUGAUAAUCCACGAAUGGAAGAACUUAAUAAGUGAUUUUUAUGUAUUGUUGUUGAUAAAUUAUAUUAAUAGAUAAUUAUUGAUAAAUUUAAUAAAAUUAUAAUUCAAAUCAAAAUGUAGAAUAAUUAAGAGUUUAAUGAGUUACAAUUAAUUAAAUAUUUGAAUUUUAAAAUAAUUUAAUUUAUAAAUGAAAAUGGAUUUAAAAGUAAAUUUAUAAAAAUUUAUAAGUGAAUAAAAUUAU